AUGGAGGAUCUGGACAUGGAUGGCGAGAAGGCGGCCAGACCCAAGUUCUACUACCCCUACUGCUAUGAGGACCAUGAGGUCACCUCCUUGUGCGCGCAUGUAGAAGAGGAGCACCCAUUGGAGUGGAGAUAUAGUUUGCACAAUGUUCCGAUCCCGCAAAAUUAUCCCAGUGUUAUUUGCUUUGAGAAAAGAAAGAGACAGUUCAAUUUAAAUUUGUGCGCAUCUUCUCAUGGAUCAUACUUAGAUUUGGCAACUGUGGCCCAUAGGGCCUCGCUAAUUAGUGCCGGCCAUGAUCAGGAGUAA
rnacentral:rRNA from 1 species